UUUAUUUAUUUCCCCUACUUUAUAGUUUUAAUUGGUUCAUGCCAUCUCAAGACAACCCUUUAUUUUAAUCACUCAAUUGCAGCAAAGCACAACGUUUAUUUAUGCAGUCAUUAAAAAUAGUGUAUUCAUAACUUAUAUUCCGUACAGUUCUUAUGAAAUCAUGUAACUGGAUCAUUUGUUUGACUAACCUUUGAGCCAGAACCAAGUUAAGACCCCUUUGCUAAACAAAAGAUGAGCAUGAUAUCAGAUAUGAGAUUAAUUUAGGUCUGCCUCAGGACUUUAAGCCAACAUCCUUAGAUGGCCACAUGGCAUUAGACCUUGGGAGUUUAGUGAAUUUUCCUCCACUCACUGUGGGGAGAGAAACAAAGAGUAGGAGUGAGAAAGCAAAAUAGAGAGUGGCAUUUUACCACAGGGAGCAUUUAUCUAGUUUGAACCAGCAAACUGACACAGCCAGGAAAAGGGCAAACAGCCAAAAACAAUGUACUACUCCAAUCUUCACAAGGGUCUCAUAUUGCAAAAUUAUAUUUUAUUCUAAGAGAACACUUGUGUGUGUAGCCAUGAGCAGUGUCGGCUCAUAUCCAUGUACAAAUAUAUAAUAAGUAAUGGGAUUAUGAGGGGGAUGAAAUUACGAUGAGACAUCUCAGAUAUCUGUGAGUGAUACGUAGCUAUUUUUGGCACUGUAUGCUAGUUUAGUUGAAAUGUGUCUGUAUUCAUUCAUCAUGAUUUUAAUAAAUACUUUGGCAACUGAAAGAUGCCUCAUUUACACUUGUCACUCUGCACAGUGAAUUAAAAACAGCUUCAUCAGUUAGUUCUCUUUAUAUGUCUACAAAUGUUUAGAUAAUUUAUUCUAUCAGACAAAAUGUGUGGGGUUAAUCUAAAUUCAGAAAUCAGUCUCCUAUUCAACAGUUGGCACAAAUCUUGUAGACAAGCCAAUUGUCUACAAGAUUUGAGUUGUUAAUGUAGUCAUAUUUUAAUAAAUUUUCAGUCUAGAAAAGUAUAGAAAUACGUAAGUAAAUUUAACAAAAUGUUUUGAUUCAACAGCUUUUUAUUUUUUUGCAGUUUUUAUUUACAUCCUAUAUUUCCAAUCAAUUAGUCAUUCAUAACUCUGAUCAUGUACAGUACAGGCCAAAAGUUUGGACACACCUUCUCAAUCAAUGCAUUGUCUUUAUUUUCAUUACUAUCUAAAUUGUAGAUUCUCAGUGAAGGCAUCAAAACUAUGAAUGAACACAUGUGGAAUCAUGUGCUUAAGAAAAAGUGUGAAAUAACUGAAAACAUGUAUUAUAUUUUAGGUUCCUCAAAGUAGCCACCUUUUGCUUUUUUGAUAGCGCUGCAAACUUUUGCUGUUCUCUCAAUGAGCUUCAUGAGGUAGUCACCUGAGAUGGUUUUUGCGUCACAGGUGUGCCUUAUCAGGGUUACUUCGUGACUACCGAGUCAGUCACUAAGUACUUCAGUCAUCAAGAGCAAAGGGUGGCUACUUUAAUGAAACUAGAAUAUAAAACAUGUUUUCAGUUAUUUCACACUUUUUUUGUAAGUACAAAAUUCUACAUGUGUUCAUUCAUAGUUUUGAUGCCUUCAGUGAUAAUCUACAAUGUAAAUACUCAUAUAAAAAAUAAAGAAAAGACAUUGAAUGAGAAGGUGUGUCCAAACCUUUGGCCUGUACUGUAUGUUUAAUAUAGCUUGUAAUAAUCUUCUUCUGACUGGAUCCUGAUCUAGAUCUUCUACUUGUGCUUGUCUGCCAGUAUAAUUCUUCACCUCUGCUGGUUCUGUUAUUGUUUUUUUUUUGUUUUUUUUUGUGAGUCAGAUUCUCUGCCACAUCUUCAUGAGCCAGAUCCUUGAUUAUUACUUCUUUGUGAGCCAGAUCCUGAACUACUACUUCUUUUUGAUUCUGACUUAAACCAUUAAUACAUGUUAGACCAGAUCCUCAACUGUUACUUCUUUCUGAACCAGAUCCUCCAUCAUUAGUUCUAAUCCUAAAGUCAGGAUCCAGAACCUUUAAUAUCUUCUUUGUGUUUCUGUUGCUUAAUUUGGAGCCAGAUCCUCUGUCGGCUCUGGUUUGUCCAUCAAUCCCCUAUUACUGACUGAUCAUGAGCCAGAUUACAGAUACAACUUUACAGAGCCCAGUUCUCUCUUACUGUGUCCUGUUUAUUUGUGCAGUUCUUAACAGGUUCAUGGCUGUAUAACUAGUGUAGAACACCUCAUCAAAUGCACUAGUUUCAUUGACAUUCUAGGGCUCCAUGCAAAUAUCAAGAAGAAGCUCAAGCAAAUCCUCUCUUGCUCUUCUGCAGGAGGAAAAUCAAAUCAUGUAAUCCAUAAACCACCCCUUAUGUUUAUUCAUCCAGUCCUUGCACAAACACUAGCUGUCAAACCUACUCCACUCAGAUUAUUCUGUGGGGUGUGCUCGCUCCAAGCAAUGCAAUCGGUUCUCAGCAAGGGAGUAGUUACGUUGCAGUCUAUCCAACCGUUUGACUCUCUCAGAGGUGGUGUCCUUGAAUGCUGGAGGCUGUAUUAAGAUAUUCUGAUCAACUCUAAACAUGGUUCGUGUUUUUCUCUGUAGGUUCUGUUGCCUUGUUUUGAUAGUCACUUGAAUGGUGCUUAACAGAUUGUGUAAGUGAAUGAGUGAGUGAGUAAGUGAGUGAGUGUGAGCACAUCAACAUAUUUUUGGCAUCAACAGAGAAUAUUCCUCCAGUUUCCAGCUCUUUUUUCUAUAUCUUGUGUUUUAAAGAGCAACAUUGCCCUGACCCAGUCCAAACAUAGAAAAUGUCAACUAUUGUUUAUGGAAAAUUUCCCACAGCACAGGCAAACAUUUUAUUUUCUCUUUGUUAAAGCCAAGCACCAGGAUGUGUCGUGCGAGAGAUGACCAAAAGAUGACCACCGCAUACCAUCCCUCUCUGGAGACAUUAUAAAGCCCCCCACCCCACCCACCCUUUCCCUCCAAGAUCCAAGCCAGGGCUGAUCCCUAUCACAAGCUAUGUCUGUUAAAGAAGUCUCGCCUGUUACUUGUCAUUUCUAAAAGCUAAGGAAACACAGUGACAGGACUUCCAGUGAAACAAGGGUAAGGGGAGUACAAAUAGGCUUAAGAUCACAGCUGUUUGUCUCUUCUUCUUUUUCGUGUCUUCUUUUAAGUCCCUUGGAGGUCAUUCUUCCUGCCUAAUGUAACAGUCUAGGCACACAGAUGCAGCUGCAGAGGCAGAGAAUCUCUGAAGUAUUGUCAUCUAUUUCAUUUGUCCCGGCUUGUGUUGGUUUAAGUGACAUCAAUUAAAGGCUAAAUCUGCUUCAUUGUUGACCCCUAGCAGUGUGGUUGUGUAGUGGCUCCCUUGAUACCAUCCAGCUGUGCUCUGCUGCAGAGAAAGAGAAAGGAGACAGAAGACAGAGAGAGGGAAGAGGGGAGAUAAAUUCAUCCUCUUGUAUUUUUCCUCUAUAAUGUUUUAGACUUGUAUGUCUAACUCAAUAUGUGUCAUUGGAUGGGAUUAAAGCAUGCCUUUGGGGCUGCCUUUUAAGGGCCUGUAAAGAGGAAAUACUCCAGUUGAAGUUCAAAGGGCACACAUGUUUUCAGAUUUAAUAUUAAACAACACACUCAUCACUGGAUUCAUGACAAAUUGUCAAACAUUCGGACUUAAGGAACAAGUUUUACGUAACAUAAUGGUCCAAAAAACCUGUUUCUUGUCCCUUCAUAGUUAAAAACAGAUGUUAAAGAUACCUUUAAAGCUCCUGUUUAAAAGAAGAGGACUUAAACAAUAAAUUCACAUGCCCAGUUAAAGUAUACAAAGACCAGAAUUUCUCCAAGUCCAAAAAUGGAAUCUAAAAGCCCUGAGUGCACUUUCCAGCUCAUUAUUAUGAGAACAGGAUUUUAGUAGAAAGAUAUUUAGAGGCCUUCGGCGUCAUUUGCUCGAAUGUGUUUAUGUUUGCAUGUCUGUGUGUAUAUAUGCAUAUUGCAGUCUAUCUGCCCAAGAGCUUGAGAGGACUUUUUUAUUGUGUCCCAUGCCAGAAAAAACAGAGAAUAACAAACACAGGCUUUAUUACAGUAAUGAAUAUGCUUUGGGAAGCAAAAUAAUACAGUUUUCCAUAAACUGCCUCUCAUAAAAUGCCAAGAAUGUCUCAGGGAAACCUGUGACAUUCGACUUUGUUGGCACCAGACGCUGAAGUCUUCCACUGUUGACCUUUCAUCUCCGUAAACUCAUUAUAGCUUCAUCACUCACUUUAUCACUCAUGGCUGCUCAUGCUAACAGAAUCAUCUGAGUACGUCAACACAACACAUAAACUGCUGGACAAUGUCACUUUAAUUCUGGUUCUUGGUGAUCAUCUCCAGUGAAGCAGAGGACAGACUUGGACACGUACAGUACAUGGAGACGCACAUUUGUAGAGAUUCUCCUCAAGAAGAUUGGAGCUAAGACAUGAGCAGCAGUGCGAAUACUUUUUUUGUGUUCAAACAGUACACAGAGUACAUCAAGCCAAGCUUGUUAGUCUGUGCGCCCAUACACUCACCCUGACAGUAGUAAAGCGACCUGACAACAGUGAUACAAACAGAACUGUUAAAGAGAAGGGAUUAAAAUCAGUUCCCUCAGGGUUUUGUGAGUGGUUUCAGAGAUUGUUGUGGUCUACAACGCCUAGUUUUGUAGCAGUACAAGAAAUACAAGUUACAGUUUUGUACUUUUUUUUUUCAUCUGUAGCACUUUCCACAUCUACAAUGAUCAACAUGGACAAAAACUUAUAAGACUCAACCCAAGGCAUGGCGGUACAUCCAAACAGAUAGCUAACCAUCUCCAACACAGCAAAAUGGACAAAUAAGAACUAGCAAAAGUGAAGGGGGUUGGGAAAUUUUUCAGACAAGUUGUUAUAAUUUGCUGAAAUUUCCUCUGAGAGUCCACAGUGAUAUGAGGAAUUAACAACACAACUUCCUGGAGGACCUGAUGAAUCAAUUUGUUGUCCUCCUUAGUGCGACUACCAUGGUAAUCAACUAUAAAUGUAAGUGUAUCUAAGGGCUUAUACACCCUCAGUUUACACACCAACACAUACUUGUUUGUCAUUUCAAAUUAUCCAUCUGUUCAGCAUAUGGGUUAAAGCAGUCUGCCCCCAUCUGCAAGGGUUAACUUUAAAGUAGAAGCCUUGGUUCCAGACAGUUAGGCGGCAUCGUAUUUUCAGAGAUGUUAUCUUCAUAAAAUUAUUAACUGGUAAAUGUAUCUAAUGAUUUUUUUGUCCUCAGCUCUCCAAAAAGGUCAUACCCUUGACUGACGCUAAAAGGGUCGAUAGAGUUCAGACUCAGGAGCAGAGGGUGUAAAACCUCAUCGUACAGGUAAGACUCCAUGCCCCUGACUCUAUCCCUGCACUCAGGUAAGGUCCAGGUGAGACAAUGGACUUACUGUACUGCUUUUAUCUCACUUAUUCGUCCAUGUGGAGGUUGAGCGCAGGCUGGCAGUCUGAGAGUACACAUUUGCAUAGUAGAGGUCAGGUACAACACAAGGCUCCCUGUGUUCAACACUGCAAUAAAGGAGCUCUGGCUGACGGGCAGGUAGAUAUUAAACAAACUUUCUUGCUUUGAAGCUGCAAAGGAUAGGUCUGGACAAGGCACAGUUUGUUGAUGUCACAUCGUUGCAAUCAGCUUGAAAUAAUCUUUGUUACAAAGCCGUAUGAGUCAUGGUCCACAUGAGGGCCUGAAACAUAACCAGAUCCAUGUGUUUGAUAGCAGGUCAGCUGGUUGAACUCUAAAUCCUCCUGGGUAUCAUUUGUGUGUAAUGAAAUAACAAAACUUUUUUAAUGGGCUCUUCCUCCUUUCAUGCGAGCAAGUAAGCAUCACAUCAAAGCAACGUUUCAGUCACAGUAUUCACAUCCAUAAAGUCAUCCUUUUUUAUAUACCUCUAUUUACAUUAUAUCAAGCUGCUUUGACUUGUGUUUUGAUAAGCAUGUGGAUGUAAAUCUAGGGAGUUGUCCUCUGACGGAGCAGCAUAGGUGGUAACACCCUCACAGCAAACUGGUGAGUGACUGCCGCGCUGUGAAAACUGUGACACGUGCAACCAAUUCCUGCGCCCUUACAUCAACACAUUCAGGACACCCUGACAAGAACAAACAUUGACUGACAAAAGCUCUUGUCUUCUAUUUUUGUCUUAUGUAUGGUCCAUCUAUAUUUGCUUCUUACUCUCCUUCCCUUGCUACAGUUGUUGCAGGAAAGGUCCAAAAGUUUCAUAUAAAACAGAGGGGUUUGUAUUAGGUUAAACUCUAAUUCAUCUGUGUUUACCCUGCGGCUAAAUUAUACUUCCUGCCACAGAGACGCUGUAGCGGGAGGAUCAAAGUGCUCCUGACUCAAAUACAAACAAUGACUGUGUCAUUUCUUUUUCCCUCUGAAUUUAUGUGUGACUGCAGUACAAUUUGGAGCAAGCCUAUUUAUAGCCAACUAUACUGCCACUGCCGCCACCACCACCCUGCAGCCUGAAAGUCACACCAGGAGAUUUUGGGAGAGAGUCCUUGAGCUCCUCCAUCAACGUGGAGCAAUGCAGUGACAAGUUUGCUGAUGAGGUUAGUUGCUGUGAAGGCGCAGUGCACCUUCACUUCCCCUAACACACACACGGCUGCAUCCUUUAAAGAUGUAGAAUCGAGUAUAUCCUCUUUGUAGUCUUGUGCAUAUACAUACAUACACACAUGAAUUAAACAAGCACUGCACAUAAGGACACACUAAGCCAGGCACACAACUUCUGACCUCAGAGAACCACUGUGGUUCAGGAUUUAUGACGUAUUUCUCAUCACUGAAUUAAAUUCUGUGCUCAUGUCAGAAUAAUAAUAAGUUACUUUGCAUGUGGUGUGUCACUUGCUCAUGUUGUAAGAACAUAUAGCAAGAUGAGAAACUGUCACAAAAGAUGAGUGACAGCCGGGGAAAGGAAGAAGAAGAAGAGGAAGGAGGGUAAGAAAAAAUAUGAAAACUUACUUUAUAUCUUUUAGAGAAACUUCUGGAGAGAAUUAAUUUAUCCACUCCUGGGCUCCCGUACACAGUCCUCUACGAGUCACAAUCACAGAAACCAAAACAAACCAGAGUAACCGGUGUGCAUCUCUAACACAGCAUGUCCCACUCGGCUGCUCACUGAUGCUCUCUGGAAU
rnacentral:lncRNA from 1 species